rnacentral:rRNA from 1 species
CAUAGGUUAAUGAGGCGAACCGGGGGAACUGAAACAUCUAAGUACCCCGAGGAAAAGAAAUCAACCGAGAUUCCCCCAGUAGCGGCGAGCGAACGGGGAGCAGCCCAGAGCCUGAAUCAGUGUGUGUGUUAGUGGAAGCGUCUGGAAAGGCGCGCGAUACAGGGUGACAGCCCCGUACACAAAAAUGCACAUGCUGUGAGCUCGAUGAGUAGGGCGGGACACGUGGUAUCCUGUCUGAAUAUGGGGGGACCAUCCUCCAAGGCUAAAUACUCCUGACUGACCGAUAGUGAACCAGUACCGUGAGGGAAAGGCGAAAAGAACCCCGGCGAGGGGAGUGAAAAAGAACCUGAAACCGUGUACGUACAAGCAGUGGGAGCCUCUUUAUGGGGUGACUGCGUACCUUUUGUAUAAUGGGUCAGCGACUUAUAUUCUGUAGCAAGGUUAACCGAAUAGGGGAGCCGAAGGGAAACCGAGUCUUAACUGGGCGUUAAGUUGCAGGGUAUAGACCCGAAACCCGGUGAUCUAGCCAUGGGCAGGUUGAAGGUUGGGUAACACUAACUGGAGGACCGAACCGACUAAUGUUGAAAAAUUAGCGGAUGACUUGUGGCUGGGGGUGAAAGGCCAAUCAAACCGGGAGAUAGCUGGUUCUCCCCGAAAGCUAUUUAGGUAGCGCCUCGUGAAUUCAUCUCCGGGGGUAGAGCACUGUUUCGGCAAGGGGGUCAUCCCGACUUACCAACCCGAUGCAAACUGCGAAUACCGGAGAAUGUUAUCACGGGAGACACACGGCGGGUGCUAACGUCCGUCGUGAAGAGGGAAACAACCCAGACCGCCAGCUAAGGUCCCAAAGUCAUGGUUAAGUGGGAAACGAUGUGGGAAGGCCCAGACAGCCAGGAUGUUGGCUUAGAAGCAGCCAUCAUUUAAAGAAAGCGUAAUAGCUCACUGGUCGAGUCGGCCUGCGCGGAAGAUGUAACGGGGCUAAACCAUGCACCGAAGCUGCGGCAGCGACGCUUAUGCGUUGUUGGGUAGGGGAGCGUUCUGUAAGCCUGUGAAGGUGUGCUGUGAGGCAUGCUGGAGGUAUCAGAAGUGCGAAUGCUGACAUAAGUAACGAUAAAGCGGGUGAAAAGCCCGCUCGCCGGAAGACCAAGGGUUCCUGUCCAACGUUAAUCGGGGCAGGGUGAGUCGACCCCUAAGGCGAGGCCGAAAGGCGUAGUCGAUGGGAAACAGGUUAAUAUUCCUGUACUUGGUGUUACUGCGAAGGGGGGACGGAGAAGGCUAUGUUGGCCGGGCGACGGUUGUCCCGGUUUAAGCGUGUAGGCUGGUUUUCCAGGCAAAUCCGGAAAAUCAAGGCUGAGGCGUGAUGACGAGGCACUACGGUGCUGAAGCAACAAAUGCCCUGCUUCCAGGAAAAGCCUCUAAGCAUCAGGUAACAUCAAAUCGUACCCCAAACCGACACAGGUGGUCAGGUAGAGAAUACCAAGGCGCUUGAGAGAACUCGGGUGAAGGAACUAGGCAAAAUGGUGCCGUAACUUCGGGAGAAGGCACGCUGAUAUGUAGGUGAGGUCCCUCGCGGAUGGAGCUGAAAUCAGUCGAAGAUACCAGCUGGCUGCAACUGUUUAUUAAAAACACAGCACUGUGCAAACACGAAAGUGGACGUAUACGGUGUGACGCCUGCCCGGUGCCGGAAGGUUAAUUGAUGGGGUUAGCGGUAACGCGAAGCUCUUGAUCGAAGCCCCGGUAAACGGCGGCCGUAACUAUAACGGUCCUAAGGUAGCGAAAUUCCUUGUCGGGUAAGUUCCGACCUGCACGAAUGGCGUAAUGAUGGCCAGGCUGUCUCCACCCGAGACUCAGUGAAAUUGAACUCGCUGUGAAGAUGCAGUGUACCCGCGGCAAGACGGAAAGACCCCGUGAACCUUUACUAUAGCUUGACACUGAACAUUGAGCCUUGAUGUGUAGGAUAGGUGGGAGGCUUUGAAGUGUGGACGCCAGUCUGCAUGGAGCCGACCUUGAAAUACCACCCUUUAAUGUUUGAUGUUCUAACGUUGACCCGUAAUCCGGGUUGCGGACAGUGUCUGGUGGGUAGUUUGACUGGGGCGGUCUCCUCCUAAAGAGUAACGGAGGAGCACGAAGGUUGGCUAAUCCUGGUCGGACAUCAGGAGGUUAGUGCAAUGGCAUAAGCCAGCUUGACUGCGAGCGUGACGGCGCGAGCAGGUGCGAAAGCAGGUCAUAGUGAUCCGGUGGUUCUGAAUGGAAGGGCCAUCGCUCAACGGAUAAAAGGUACUCCGGGGAUAACAGGCUGAUACCGCCCAAGAGUUCAUAUCGACGGCGGUGUUUGGCACCUCGAUGUCGGCUCAUCACAUCCUGGGGCUGAAGUAGGUCCCAAGGGUAUGGCUGUUCGCCAUUUAAAGUGGUACGCGAGCUGGGUUUAGAACGUCGUGAGACAGUUCGGUCCCUAUCUGCCGUGGGCGCUGGAGAACUGAGGGGGGCUGCUCCUAGUACGAGAGGACCGGAGUGGACGCAUCACUGGUGUUCGGGUUGUCAUGCCAAUGGCACUGCCCGGUAGCUAAAUGCGGAAGAGAUAAGUGCUGAAAGCAUCUAAGCACGAAACUUGCCCCGAGAUGAGUUCUCCCUGACUCCUUGAGAGUCCUGAAGGAACGUUGAAGACGACGACGUUGAUAGGCCGGGUGUGUAAGCGCAGCGAUGCGU